rnacentral:rRNA from 1 species
AAUAGAUACCCAGGUAGUCCACGCCGUAAACGAUGGAUACUAGCUGUUGGGGGUAUCGACCCCCCAGUAGCGAAGCUAACGCGUUAAGUAUCCCGCCUGUGGAGUACGGUCGCAAGACUAAAACAUAAAGGAAUUGACGGGGACCCGCACAAGCGGUGGAUUGUGUUCUUUAAUUCGAUGAUAAACGAAGAACCUUACCAGGGUUUGACAUCCCUUGAAUUAUGCCGAAAGGCGUGAGUGCUUUAUUGAACAAGGUGACAGGUGAUGCAUGGCCGUCGUCAGCUCGUGUCGUGAGAUGUUUGGUUAAGUCCAUCAACGAGCGCAACCCUUGUCUUCAGUUGGAUUUUUCUGAAGAGACUGCCCCGGCAACGGGGAGGAAGGAGGGGAUGAUGUCAGGUCAGUAUUUCCCUUACAUCCUGGGCUAGAAACGCAAUACAAUGGCGAGUACAAUGCGCAGCGAAGCGGCAACGUGAAGCAAAUCGCAUCAAAACUCGUCCCAGUUCGGAUUAGAGGCUGAAACUCGCCUCUAUGAAGUCGGAA